AAUAGAUACCCCGGUAGUCCACGCCCUAAACUAUGUCAACUAGUUGUCGGGGAAGAAAUUCCUUGGUAACGCAGCUAACGCGUGAAGUUGACCGCCUGGGGAGUACGGCCGCAAGGUUAAAACUCAAAGGAAUUGACGGGGACCCGCACAAGCGGUGGAUUAUGUGGAUUAAUUCGAUGCAACGCGAAAAACCUUACCUACCCUUGACAUGUACGGAAUUCCGCAGAGAUGUGGAAGUGCCCGAAAGGGAACCGUAACACAGGUGCUGCAUGGCUGUCGUCAGCUCGUGUCGUGAGAUGUUGGGUUAAGUCCCGCAACGAGCGCAACCCUUGCCAUUAGUUGCUACAUUCAGUUGGGCACUCUAAUGGGACCGCCGGUGACAAACCGGAGGAAGGUGGGGAUGACGUCAAGUCCUCAUGGCCCUUAUGGGUAGGGCUUCACACGUAAUACAAUGGUCGGUACAGAGGGCUGCCAACCCGCAAGGGGGAGCUAAUCCCAGAAAGCCGAUCGUAGUCCGGAUUGUAGUCUGCAACUCGACUGCAUGAAGCCGG
rnacentral:rRNA from 1 species